rnacentral:misc_RNA from 1 species
AAGUCGUAACAAGGUUUCCGUAGGUGAACCUGCGGAAGGAUCAUUACAGUAUUCUUUUGCCAGCGCUUAAUUGCGCGGCGAAAAACCUUACACACAGUGAUUUCUUUCUUUGAAAACAUUACUUUGGUCUGGCGCAAGUUGGGCCAAAGGUCUAUUAAACUUCAAUUUUAUAUUGAAUUGUUAUUUAAACAUGUCAAUUUGUUGAUUAAUAUCAAAAAUCUUCAAAACUUUCAACAACGGAUCUCUUGGUUCUC